rnacentral:rRNA from 1 species
UACGUAGGGUGCGAGCGUUGUCCGGAAUUAUUGGGCGUAAAGAGCUUGUAGGCGGUUUGUCGCGUCUGCUGUGAAAAUCCGGGGCUCAACCCCGGACUUGCAGUGGGUACGGGCAGGCUAGAGUGUGGUAGGGGAGACUGGAAUUCCUGGUGUAGCGGUGAAAUGCGCAGAUAUCAGGAGGAACACCGGGUGGCGAAGGCGGAUCUCUGGGCCUUACCUGACGCUGAGGCGCGAAAGCUAGGGGAGCGAACAGG